GAUGAACGCUGGCGGCGUGCUUAACACAUGCAAGUCGAACGAAGCACCUCUCCCGAAGAUUGACACAGCUUGCUGUAGAUUGAUUCAUUUGAGGUGACUGAGUGGCGGACGGGUGAGUAACGCGUGGGUAACCUGCCUCAUAGAGGGGGACAACAGUUGGAAACGACUGCUAAUACCGCAUAGUAAGAAGAAUUCGCAUGUUUUCUUCUUGAAAGAUUUAUCGCUAUGAGAUGGACCCGCGUCUGAUUAGCUAGUUGGUAAGGUAACGGCUUACCAAGGCGACGAUCAGUAGCCGGCUUGAGAGAGUGAACGGCCACAUUGGGACUGAGACACGGCCCAAACUCCUACGGGAGGCAGCAGUGGGGAAUAUUGCACAAUGGGGGAAACCCUGAUGCAGCGACGCCGCGUGAGUGAAGAAGUAUUUCGGUAUGUAAAGCUCUAUCAGCAGGGAAGAUAAUGACGGUACCUGAAGAAGAAGCCCCGGCUAACUACGUG
rnacentral:rRNA from 1 species